UACGUAGGUCCCGAGCGUUGUCCGGAUUUAUUGGGCGUAAAGCGAGCGCAGGUGGUUUAUUAAGUCUGGUGUGAAAGGCAGUGGCUCAACCAUUGUAUGCAUUGGAAACUGGUAGACUUGAGUGCAGGAGAGGAGAGUGGAAUUCCAUGUGUAGCGGUGAAAUGCGUAGAUAUAUGGAGGAACACCGGUGGCGAAAGCGGCUCUCUGGCCUAUAACUGACACUGAGGCUCGAAAGCGUGGGGAGCAAACAGG
rnacentral:rRNA from 1 species